rnacentral:lncRNA from 1 species
GGCUGGCGCGCGGCUCUGGUCGUCCGCCCUCCGAACGGCCGCCCCGCGGUAUUUAGCGGAACGUUGAGCCGCAGAGCCGUUGGCAGCUGCGUGGAGAGUGACGGCAGUGCCGGCAACAUGGCGUUUGCGGCCCGCACCUCGGCCGGUGCUGGAGGCCGACGAGGGGUCGUGCGGGUGGAGCCGCUGCAGCCCUAAUGCUCUGCAGUGCUGCCGAAAGUUACUCCACUACCUACGGCGUUCUGCUAAGGUGACUAAGUUUGAGACUUUUCAACUUA